rnacentral:rRNA from 1 species
GGGGAAUAUUGCACAAUGGGGGAAACCCUGAUGCAGCAACGCCGCGUGGAGGAAGAAGGUCUUCGGAUUGUAAACUCCUGUCUUCUGGGACGAAUAAUGACGGUACCAGAGGAGGAAGCCACGGCUAACUACGUGCCAGCAGCCGCGGUAAUACGUAGGUGGCGAGCGUUGUCCGGAAUUACUGGGCGUAAAGGGCGCGUAGGCGGCCUGUUAAGUCAGAUGUGAAAACCCCGGGCUCAACCUGGGGACUGCAUUUGAAACUGAUGGGCUAGAGUGUCGGAGAGGGAAGCGGAAUUCCUAGUGUAGCGGUGAAAUGCGUAGAUAUUAGGAGGAACACCAGUGGCGAAGGCGGCUUUCUGGACGAUAACUGACGCUGAGGCGCGAAAGCGUGGGGAGCAAAC